UUGCUUUUGGAUUGUUUAAACAUAUUGUUAACCUUUCCUGCUCAGCUCGUCCGACCGUGGUCAGCAAGCACAGGGGAGAUUUCCUCCAGGGCCGAUGACAGGGGUUAACUCCCUUACCAG